CGGCGGACGGGUGAGUAACACGUGGAUAACCUACCUAUAAGACUGGGAUAACUUCGGGAAACCGGAGCUAAUACCGGAUAAUAUAUUGAACCGCAUGGUUCAAUGGUGAAAGACGGUUUUGCUGUCACUUAUAGAUGGAUCCGCGCCGCAUUAGCUAGUUGGUAAGGUAACGGCUUACCAAGGCAACGAUGCGUAGCCGACCUGAGAGGGUGAUCGGCCACACUGGAACUGAGACACGGUCCAGACUCCUACGGGAGGCAGCAGGC
rnacentral:rRNA from 1 species